rnacentral:rRNA from 1 species
UAGGGAAUAUUGCAAAAUGGGCGAAAGCCUGAUGCAGCAACGCCGCGUGAACGAUGAAGGCCUUCGGGUCGUAAAGUUCUUUUCGAUAGGAUGAGGAAGGACAGUACUAUCGGAAUAAGCCUCGGCUAACUACGUGCCAGCAGCCGCGGUAAAACGUAGGAGGCGAGCGUUAUCCGGAUUUACUGGGCGUAAAGCGCGUGCAGGCGGAACGGAAAGUUGGAUGUGAAAGCUCCCGGCUUAACUGGGAGAGGUCGUUCAAGACUACCGAUCUAGAGUGUGGUAGAGGGAAGCGGAAUUCCGGGUGUAGUGGUGAAAUGCGUAGAUAUCCGGAGGAACACCAGUGGCGAAAGCGGCUUUCUGGACCACAACUGACGCUCAGACGCGAAAGCUAGGGUAGCAA